rnacentral:tRNA from 1 species
GUCCUGUUGGCUCAGUUGGUAGAGCGUGAGUCUCAUAAUCUCAAGGUCGUGAGUUCGAGCCUCACACAGGGCA